CCUACGGGUGGCAGCAGUGAGGAAUAUUGGUCAAUGGACGAGAGUCUGAACCAGCCAAGUAGCGUGAAGGAUGACUGCCCUAUGGGUUGUAAACUUCUUUUAUAAAGGAAUACAACGAGGCACGUGUGCCUUUUUGCAUGUACUUUAUGAAUAAGGAUCGGCUAACUCCGUGCCAGCAGCCGCGGUAAUACGGAGGAUUCGAGCGUUAUCCGGAUUUAUUGGGUUUAAAGGGAGCGUAGAUGGGUUGUUAAGUCAGUUGUGAAAGUUUGCGGCUCAAACGUAAAAUUGCAAUUGAUACUGGCAGUCGUGAGUACAGUUGAGGUAGGCGGAAUUCGUGGGGGAGCGGUGAAAUGCUUAGAUAUCACGAAGAACCCCGAUUGCGAAGGCAGCUUACUAAACUGUGACUGACAUUGAUGCUCGAAAGUGUGGGUAUCAAACAGGAUUAGAUACCCUUGUAGUC
rnacentral:rRNA from 1 species